UAGACCAUGUGAGUCUUAUACAAACAGAAGGAUCAGGAAAGACAUGAAAGCCUUCACAAGAACUCCUUCAGCUACCCUGAGUAGUUUCCUUUUCAAGUAAGUGUCAGGAAAUGGCUCUGACUGACAAAUGGAAGAGGACCUGAGUUCAGCUGUCGUCGCACACAUCAGGUGGCUCACAAUUAUCUAUACAACUCCAGCUCCCAAGGAUCCAAUGCCCUCUUCUGGCUCUGUGGGCACUAAGCAUUUAUAAAACAGGUUCUGAAGAUUAAACUCAGCUUACCAGGCGUGUCCAGCAAGCACCUUCACCCACUGAGCCAUCUCCAUGGCCCAGGAGAUUAAUGUGAUUUUAUCUUUACUACCAUACCACAGAAGUCCAAGCCGAGGAGACUACAUGAAAACCAUUACUGCUCACUUUGCCCAGCAGAACAGGCCAUAAGUAGACUUUUAGUGUUUUCAGUUCUCUUGUGUUUCUAUUUUACCAACUAAAGCCACCUUAUGUUUGGAAACAUACUUAAGAGGCUACAGAUCUGAGAAGUUUAAAUACAAAAGGACAUGGCAGUUACACUUUAACAGCUUACAUGGAACAGUGCUACUGAAAUCUUCCCAGUGAACACUGGGGCAGCAUGCAACACAAGCUUACUGCUGGAGAGUCAACAGCAUCAUCACCGUAAAUGUUUUAUUGUUGAGAUACACAAAAUUAACCAUUUUAUGUAGCCAGUCCUCUGGGCAUUAAGUACACUCAUGUUGGA